rnacentral:tRNA from 1 species
UAGGACGUGGUGUAAGAGGUAGCACAGAGAAUUUUGAAUUCUCGGGUUUAGGUUCAAUUCCUAUAGUUCUAG